AGCUCCCGCGGUAAUUCCAGCUCCAAUAGCGUAUAUUAAAGUUGUUGCAGUUAAAAAGCUCGUAGUUGAAUUUCGGGGUUCUACCGUUGGUCGGGCUUCGUCUGUACUGGCGUGUAGAAUUUCUACCUUCUGGGGAACCAUCAUGUUAUUAAUUUAACGUGGUGGGAAACCAGGACCUUUACCUUGAAAAAAUUAGAGUGCUUCAGGCAGGCCUAUGCUCGAAUACAUUAGCAUGGAGUAAUAGAAUAGGACGUGUGGUUCUAUUUUGUUGGUUUCUAGGACCGCCGUAAUGAUUAAUAGGGGCAGUCGGGGGCAUCAGUAUUCAAUUGUCAGAGGUGAAAUUCUUGGAUUUAU
rnacentral:rRNA from 1 species